rnacentral:misc_RNA from 1 species
UGGACAAGAAACCACAAGUGUCUUCAAUCUAUCUUCUAAUGCUCAAUCUGUCCCAGUCAAUACUAAUGAACCCACCGAAGCUCAAUUUGUCCCAUCUAAUCAAGAAUCAAGCCAGAGAGAAGGUGGCAGUGGGAGAAAGCGUAAGCAAAGCCAUGUUGGAUUAGCUCUUGAAAGUUAUGUAGAGUUUAAAAAGAUCCAAAAUACAGAAACACUUGAAACUCUUAAAGAACAUAAGAGGCAAGAGGAUCAAUUUUCUAUUAGCAAGUGUCAGGCUGAAUUGAAAGGAAUGGAUGGAUUAACAGC